UACGGAGGGUGCAAGCGUUAUCCGGAAUUAUUGGGUUUAAAGGGAACGUAGGCGGUUUGUUAAGUCAGAUGUGAAAUACGGUGGCUCAACCAUGGAAGUGCAUCUGAUACUGGCGAGCUUGAGUAUCGUUGAGGGGGGUGGAAUGCGACGUGUAGCGGUGAAAUGCGUAGAGAUGUGGAAGAACACCGAUUGCGAAGGCGGCUCCCUGGACGAUGACUGACGCUGAGGCUCGAAAGCGUGGGGAUCAAACUGG
rnacentral:rRNA from 1 species